UUUAUUGCUGCUCUGCAUUAACCCUGUAGAUCCGAAUUUGUGUAAGUUGUAAAUUCUGUCACAAGUUCGAAUCUCACGGUACCUGCAGAGCAGAACUA
rnacentral:pre_miRNA from 1 species